rnacentral:rRNA from 1 species
UACGUAGGGUGCGAGCGUUAAUCGGAAUUACUGGGCGUAAAGCGUGCGCAGGCGGUUAUGUAAGACCGAUGUGAAAUCCCCGGGCUUAACCUGGGAACUGCAUUGGUGACUGCAUUGCUGGAGUAUGGCAGAGGGGGGUGGAAUUCCACGUGUAGCAGUGAAAUGCGUAGAGAUGUGGAGGAACACCGAUGGCGAAGGCAGCCCCCUGGGCCAAUACUGACGCUCAUGCACAAAAGCGUGGGGAGCAAACAGG